rnacentral:rRNA from 1 species
AUUGAACGCUGGCUGCAGGCCUAACACAUGCAAGUCGGGGGAGCGGCGUACGGGUGAGUAAUGUAUGUGGCUCUGCCUGCUGUCGGGGGAUAACUACUGGACACGGUAGCUAAUACCGCAUACCAUCAGAUGGACCCAUAUGGGAUUCGCUAGUAGGUAAGGUAACGGCGUACCUAGGCGACGAUCCCUAGCUAGUCUGAGAGGAUGUGCAGCCACCCUGGGACUGAGACAAGGCACAGACUCCUACGGGAGGCAGCAUUGGGGAAUAGUGCACAAUGGGAGCAAGCCUGAUGCAGCCAUGCCGCGUGUAUUAAGAAGGCCUUCGGGUUGUAAAGGAAUUUCAGUCGGGAGGCGUUACCGACAGAAGAAGCACCGGCUAACUCCGUGCCAGCAGCCGCGGUAAUAC